CAGCCGCCGCGGGAAUACGUAGGGUGCGAGCGCUAAUCGGAAUUACUGGGCGUAAAGCGUGCGCAGGCGGUUGUGUAAGACAGGUGUGAAAUCCCCGGGCUUAACCUGGGAACUGCGCUUGUGACUGCACAGCUAGAGUAUGGCAGAGGGGGGUGGAAUUCCACGUGUAGCAGUGAAAUGCGUAGAGAUGUGGAGGAACACCGAUGGCGAAGGCAGCCCCCUGGGCCAAUACUGACGCUCAUGCACGAAAGCGUGGGGAGCAAACAGGAUUAGAUACCCCAGUAGUCCCUGUCUUUUAUAA
rnacentral:rRNA from 1 species